CCUACGGGGGGCAGCAGUGAGGAAUAUUGGUCAAUGGACGAGAGUCUGAACCAGCCAAGUAGCGUGAAGGAUGACGGCUCUAUGGGUUGUAAACUUCUUUUAUAAAGGAAUAAAACGAGCCACGUGUGCAUUUUUGCAUGUACUCUAUGAAUAAGGAUCGGCUAACUCCGUGCCAGCAGCCGCGGUAAUACGGAGGAUCCGAGCGUUAUCCGGAUUUAUUGGGUUUAAAGGGUGCGUAGAUGGGUUGUUAAGUCAGUUGUGAAAGUUUGCGGCUCAACCGUAAAAUUGCAAUUGAUACUGGCAGUCUUGAGUAUAGUUGAGGUAGGCGGAAUGCGUGGUGUAGCGGUGAAAUGCUUAGAUAUCACGAAGAACUCCGAUUGCGAAGGCAGCUUACUAAGCUAUAACUGACAUUGAUGCUCGAAAGUGUGGGGAUCAAACAGGAUUAGAUACCCUAGUAGUC
rnacentral:rRNA from 1 species